GCACUAGAACUCAGUUGAUGCUUUCCCAUGCAGUGACUGUGUUUUAACUUUGAAUACCUGGCUGCUACCAAACCAAUACAUUUAUGUUCGUUCUUUGGGCAUUUCCGCACUAUUUGAGGGGGUGGUGGCAAAUUGCAUUGGAGACGCAGCAGAAGUUGUGCGAGGGACGUAAAAAGAGCAAUAUGUAAACCUUGCUGUGUUCAAGGUCCAAUAACCUACAGAGAAAAUACUAUUUGAAUAAUCACCGUGGCCGAAGAUGGUUUCGGAAAUGGAUGAAAUAUAUGGAUGGGAACAGCCCCCUUUGAACCAAGUUUUCAGAACCUGGGCAUUCAGUGUGUGAAGAAAAAGGAUGUGGACGAGGCAGUUUCCUGUAGGCUGCAGACCCAAAAACAACCCCUUCAACAUUCCUGAGGCGAACGUGUGGGAGGAGUUUGACCUAAAUGCAGUGAGGCUGUGUUUCCAGGCCUCGAUCACUCUGCCUACCGGGGAACUCUGACCUCUGGAGCCCGUGGUGUCCCAGCCCAUCUACGACAACAACCCCAGUAAUUGUAACAAAUUGAACGCCUGAAACAACGGCAGAAUUUACAGAAACCUCAUACAGGUGACUAUUUAUUGCUGAUAACAUUGUUACAUUUGAUUCAGAGGAUGUUUUGAAUUAUUGUAAGGAUUAUUAUCCAGGCUCUAGUGCUCCGAUGUCGGUCUGUUCCAGUGCCAUUUGACAGGGCAGGUGUUUCUGAUGGAGGGGGAGGUGCUGUACAAGGCUGUCCAACGGGACGAGAAUCUCCUGCAUUCUACACACACACACAGUGGUAAACACCAGCAACCUCUCCUUAUGGGGCCUUGUCAGAAAGUACAUACGGGAAGCCCUGCUCUCGAUCAAGGGGCAGGUGUUGCCUUUCCGAUCACUCCAAUCAGUUAUCAAUGUGAUCGUCCUGCCAUCAUGUGCCACUUGAACGGGUAAAAAAAAUCCCCUCUGAUGAUUGGUGGGUAACUGUUUUUCUACCACAGGCAGCCAGGUGUGCAUUGAGUUUUCAGUGUGAGUACGCUCAUUGAUAAUCACUUCUUAUUCUGUUGCAGGUUGAAGCGGCAACAGACAGGGAACAAUUGCGUACAGCUCUGUUCGGGCUGCAUUCUCACUCGAGGGGAAACAUACAGUCUGAAGACUGAAGACUCUGAUAGGUGUUGCAUGCUAAUAAUGUCACAUCAUGAUCAGAGUAACAGCUGUACGCUGAUGCUACAUACUGGAUAUUCCAUGACAAUAAUUACCUCAUGUUAAGUGCACUUUUCUAAAUGGUCACUCAUUCUGUAAGGUGCGCAGCUAUGGAAGAUAGUCAAGUUCAAAUCAGCCUCAUCUAUUACCUGUCUCUAUGUAGUCUCUAUAGACAGACGGGUUGCCUCACACAAUGUACCAAUGUUCCAACAUCCACGUCUGUACAAGUACCUGCGUUAAUAGGGACAGAGAGGAGGGGUCGGAAAUGGGAUGUGCUUUAUCGCCUUAUCUGGUGACGUCAACGUCGUAUCUGCUUGUUGCCCUAGCUUUAAACAUCCCGCCAGACACAAAGUACUAGCUAGCUAGCGAGAUGGAGAACGCAGAGGUUAUUUUUAAUGAGUGCAAGUGUCAAGGUUGCGUCAUCUACCUUCACUAAAACCACUGCAAAAGUUUUUCCUGCAAACUUUGGUUUUGAAUCUCAAUGUUCUGGCAUGUCUGCUUUCAGGGUACGGAAAGAGUUAGAUUUUUCAGGCUUGGCCCUCCUACCCAAACUCGUGAUUUUGGUGGGAGAGUUGUCUGUCUAAAGAGGACCCUCCCCUUUCAAAAUGUAUAAGAGAAUCAGACAUCCCCCCCCCCCCCUGGGAUUUCCAAGACUGGUCACUGGGCAAAAUUACAUCAAAUUAGUAUUAUGACAUUGUAUGCAGUAGGCUAGAUGUUAGCAAGAGAGCUUCUUAAAUUGAUGGCAAGUUUUUCUAAAUUAUCUCACAAACUAAACCAAUAAGCAUUUGUCUAAUGAUCUAGACGAGCGGGGAACUGAUUCCAUGUUCAAGACGUUCCAAUGCUGCAGGUUUUCGUGUCGCACGUGCCCAGAACGACAUAUGGACAUUUACAAAAUGUGAAAAGGCAUUCUGUGGGGUGGGGAAAAUAGGAUGCUAAGCUGAUGCCCUUAUGUCAUUUGAUCUAGUUGACAUUAUUUUGCUCUAUAGUUUGUAUCUCAAUUGCAGAAUGUACUGCAGAAAAUACAAGUUGGUAUUUCCUCCCCCCAUCAUUGUUCUAUAUGUCUGCCACUAUGGUCCAAACUACCAUCCAACCUUUUCAGGUGUUGCUGAAUGCAGAUACAAAGGGUAUGGAGCUAAUAAGGCUUCUGAAAAGAGGGCUUGAUAGAGAGGUGUGGACGAAGGUGUGGACCGGGCUUGUGUGUCUGCCAGGUAAAACCUUGAAGUUAGUCUGUCAACAAGGUGUAUCCAAAUCUGAUUCAUGCCACUGUUUGCCAGGUACUCCCUCUGCCCCAGGUCUAUAUCCAACCUUGUUUAGAGGGGAAGGAUGAAACCCAGCAGGGUUACAGACUUCAAGGACGGACCUCUUGUAUUUGAGAAGGGAGUCCGUAAAUCCGUCCAACCACCAUUCCCACACAGGUGAAUAUGUAUUACACACAGGUGAAUAUGUCUUAAUUUUUAUCCGACUCACAGGUUCUGUGUUAGUGGGAAGGCCUCAGGCUGAGACUAGUCAGACGGGUUCGACAGAGAGGCUGCGUUCUGUGAGGACAGAAUUUGUCAAUCAGGUGUCAGGACCUGUGCUCGACAGUUUAUUGGACAGGCUUCUGCAAUGGGAAGUUCUCAAUGAACUUGAAAUGGAAACAGUGAAGGUGAUUCGCGAGAGAGCAAAGAAGGACUGGGAAGUCAUAGCCAUGGUGCUGAGGAAAUGAGCUGCUUCAUGUUUGCUAAUUAAAACCCAUCUGAUUGAACUGGACCCCUUGUUCUGCGCAAUGCUUGGUGUCCGCUGAAACAUUAUUGUAGUAUGAGGCAUUGAUGAACACGACCAAUGAUGUCUGUAUUCAAUAAAACAUUUGGUCUGCAUUUAUUGAUUAUUUUGGAAUUAGGGUGUAAGGCUUAUCGUUUUUUGAAAAUCAUUCAGCAUACAUGUAACCGCAUUAGACAUCAUCUUGAGCACUCUUUGAUAAGAAAACAAUGUUUCAUGUCAGGUUCACAUGCUUACCCUAACACUUUUCCUACAGUUAUUCAAAUACACCAUGUAACAUGAACU